rnacentral:rRNA from 1 species
UACGUAGGGUGCAAGCGUUAAUCGGAAUUACUGGGCGUAAAGCGUGCGCAGGCGGUUUUGUAAGUCAGAUGUGAAAUCCCCCGGGCUUAACCUGGGAACUGCGUUUGAAACUACAAGGCUAGAGUGUGGCAGAGGGGGGUGGAAUUCCACGUGUAGCAGUGAAAUGCGUAGAGAUGUGGAGGAACACCGAUGGCGAAGGCAGCCCCCCCUGGGUUAACACUGACGCUCAGGCACGAAAGCGUGGGGAGCAAACAGG